rnacentral:rRNA from 1 species
CCUACGGGUGGCAGCAGUGGGGAAUAUUGGGCAAUGGGCGAAAGCCUGACCCAGCAACGCCGCGUGAAGGAAGAAGGCUUUCGGGUUGUAAACUUCUUUUGUCAGGGACGAAGCAAGUGACGGUACCUGACGAAUAAGCCACGGCUAACUACGUGCCAGCAGCCGCGGGAAUACGUAGGUGGCAAGCGUUAUCCGGAUUUACUGGGUGUAAAGGGCGUGUAGGCGGGACUGCAAGUCAGAUGUGAAAACUCAGGGCUCAACCCUGAGCCUGCAUUUGAAACUGUAGUUCUUGAGUACUGUAGAGGCAGACGGAAUUCCUAGUGUAGCGGUGAAAUGCGUAGAUAUUAGGAGGAACACCAGUGGCGAAGGCGGUCUGCUGGACAGCAACUGACGUUGAGGCUCGAAAGCGUGGGGAGCAAACAGGAUUAGAUACCCUGGUAGUC